rnacentral:rRNA from 1 species
UACGGAGGGUGCAAACGUUGCUCGGAAUCAUUGGGCGUAAAGCGCAUGUAGGCGGUCGGCUAUGUCGGAUGUGAAAGCCUCGGGCUUAACCCGAGAAGUGCAUCCGAAACUGGCCGGCUUGAGUACGGAAGAGGGUCUCGGAAUUCCCGGUGUAGAGGUGAAAUUCGUAGAUAUCGGGAGGAACACCAGUGGCGAAGGCGGAGACCUGGGCCGAUACUGACGCUGAGGCACGAAGGUCAGGGGAGCAAACGGG